GGAGUCCUGGAGGAGGAGCUCGCCCUGAACCUCCAGACCCUCCUCCAGACCUGACGGAGGACAUCACAGGAAGUACAGGGUUAACGUCCUGACUCUACGCAGGACGAGACUAUGUCCUGGAUGUUUCCGAACACAAUGUCGUCCUUGUUGGCGAGACCUGGAGGGACGUCCUCUGAGCCGCUCGUCAUCUCCCACAGGAGCUCAGCCAUGAUGUACCUGACAACACAAACACAGGUGUUAUCAAAGGAUGUACAUCACUACUACUACUACUAUUAGUACUAGUACUAAUACUGAUACUACUCACUCUUUCUUGCGGGCGGAGCGUCU